rnacentral:tRNA from 1 species
UGGCUCAGUGGUAGAGCGCUUGCCUUGCAUGCAUGAGGUCCUGGGUUUGAUUCCUCAG